rnacentral:rRNA from 1 species
CAGCCGCCGCGGUAAUACGAAGGGUGCAAGCGUUACUCGGAAUUACUGGGCGUAAAGCGUGCGUAGGUGGUGGUUUAAGUCCGUUGUGAAAGCCCUGGGCUCAACCUGGGAAUUGCAGUGGAUACUGGGCAACUAGAGUAAGGUAGAGGAUAGUGGAAUUUCCGGUGUAGCAGUGAAAUGCGUAGAGAUCGGAAGGAACAUCUGUGGCGAAGGCGACUAUCUGGGCCAUUACUGACACUGAGGCACGAAAGCGUGGGGAGCAAACAGGAUUAGAUACCCCAGUAGUCCCUGUCUCUUAUAA